GACGAACGCUGGCGGCGUGCCUAAUACAUGCAAGUUGAGCGAUGAAGCUUGGUGCUUGCACCCAUUUGAAGAGCAGCGAACGGGUGAGUAACGCGUGGGGAAUCUGCCUUUGAGCGGGGGACAACAUUUGGAAACGAAUUCUAAUACCGCAUAACAACUUUAAACAUAAGUUUUAAGUUUGAAAGAUGCAAUUGCAUCACUCAAAGAUGAUCCCGCGUUGUAUUAGCUAGUUGGUGAGGUAAAGGCUCACCAAGGCGAUGAUACAUAGCCGACCUGAGAGGGUGAUCGGCCAAAUUGGGACUGAGACACGGCCCAAACUCCUACGGGAGGCAGCAGUAGGGAGUCUUCGGCAAUGGACGAAAGUCUGACCGAGCAACGCCGCGUGAGUGAAGAAGGUUUUCGGAUCGUAAAACUCUGUUGGUAGAGAAGAAAGUUGGUGAGAGUGGAAAGCUCAUCAAGUGACGGUAACUACCCAGAAAGGGACGGCUAACUACGUG
rnacentral:rRNA from 1 species